rnacentral:rRNA from 1 species
UACGAACCGUACAAACGUUAUUCGGAAUCACUGGGCUUAAAGGGUGCGUAGGCGGCCACGUAAGUGAGGUGUGAAAUCCCUCGGCUCAACCGAGGAACUGCGCUUCAUACUGCAUGGCUUGAGGGAGACAGGGGUAAGCGGAACUGAUGGUGGAGCGGUGAAAUGCGUUGAUAUCAUCAGGAACACCGGUGGCGAAAGCGGCUUACUGGGUCUCUUCUGACGCUGAGGUACGAAAGCUAGGGUAGCGAACGGG